AUCCUACGGGGGGCAGCAGUGGGGAAUAUUGCACAAUGGGGGAAACCCUGAUGCAGCGACGCCGCGUGAGUGAAGAAGUAUUUCGGUAUGUAAAGCUCUAUCAGCAGGGAAGAUAAUGACGGUACCUGAGUAAGAAGCCCCGGCUAACUACGUGCCAGCAGCCGCGGUAAUACGUAGGGGGCAAGCGUUAUCCGGAUUUACUGGGUGUAAAGGGAGCGUAGAUGGCAUGGCAAGUCUGAAGUGAAAGCCCGGGGC
rnacentral:rRNA from 1 species